AUUGAACGCUGGCGGCAGGCUUAACACAUGCAAGUCGAGCGGGGAAGUAUAGCUUGCUAUACGACCUAGCGGCGGACGGGUGAGUAAUGCUUAGGAAUCUGCCUAUUAGUGGGGGACAACAUUCCGAAAGGAAUGCUAAUACCGCAUACGCCCUACGGGGGAAAGCAGGGGAUCUUCGGACCUUGCGCUAAUAGAUGAGCCUAAGUCAGAUUAGCUAGUUGGUGGGGUAAAGGCCUACCAAGGCGACGAUCUGUAGCGGGUCUGAGAGGAUGAUCCGCCACACUGGGACUGAGACACGGCCCAGACUCCUACGGGAGGCAGCAGUGGGGAAUAUUGGACAAUGGGCGAAAGCCUGAUCCAGCCAUGCCGCGUGUGUGAAGAAGGCCUUUUGGUUGUAAAGCACUUUAAGCGAGGAGGAGGCUACCGAGAUUAAUACUCUUGGAUAGUGGACGUUACUCGCAGA
rnacentral:rRNA from 1 species